rnacentral:lncRNA from 1 species
AGAUGAAUCUCUCCAACAUAUAUUCAAUUUUGGUUUAGCAUAAGGGAAUGGAUUGUUAUUUUGUUAUUAUUUUUAUUCACAGGGACUCACGUGUUGCAAAACCAGGGUGACAUCUACAGCAUCAGUUAACAAACAAGACGAGAAUGGCCAUGCUUCUACACAGGGUCAUAUGGAUGACAGUGAAGUCUUUCUUGCCCACCUUGGAUAAAGGAUGAGUAACAUGACCUGAGAGAGAGAGGUUUUGGUACUUUCCAUGUCCUCAUGGUCCCCCUCUCAGCUUCAUAUUUCUUUGUAUGCCCUGCAUCUUGGAACAUCUGUUCUUGUUUUGCUUCAUUUAACUUCAGCAUGCAUAUUUCUGCUGCUGCUGCUCUAGAAAUUAAUGUUUUGAUCACAACCCUACACAGGGGUUAUUUUAAACCUGACCCCUUCUUCCUCCUGUGACCCAGUUCAUGAUCAUAAGGGAAAUGCUUAGUAAUCUUGCUUUCAGAAGUGAAAGCGAAAAAUCCAACCACUCUAUUAAUGCCACCUCAACAGCUGGGAAAUAAAACACAGUGAGUAAUUUUUCCCUUGCA